CUCGCUCUCACUCGCGCACACACACACAAACCCGAUCAGAUGCUUCAGGACCGGCCACUUUGCGAGGGGAACAACACGGGAGGGUUUGUAUUACUCCAGGUGCCUGACAGGGCUGGCCGGGAAGAACUGCUGACCUGUCUAAAGAAAUAUAUGUGCGUCUCCUGGAAUGGCAGGACAGAUGGUGCCCGUUCGCGCCGCGGCGACUUCUCUCGAUGGCACACCGAGCGGAGCUGAUGAGUGGAAAUGGACUACGAAAAAGUUUAGACCAUGAGGUAAUUAUAAAAACCAAUAUAGCGAUUUUGAAAGAGAGACUCACUUCGCAAUUUUGCACCGAGGAGCAAAAUAUUCUGGCGAAGUCUGGGGUCAUCACCGACAAUGGAGCAAUGUUCCCUCCCUGUUUAAUAUACAUGGUGUGGGAAAUGGACGGAAGAUAUAGCUAGCACCUGUAGUGCCAAAGGAAAAAAAAAUCAAAUUACUACAUCAUAUUUUGGGGCUAUUUUGCAGGACAUUCUUCAAAAAUAGACCCAUAUUUAAUUAUAUCUCUAAUGAUUUUCUCUGUGAGACUGCUAGUUAAUAGUAAGGAGGAAAUGGGUUUUCUACCGAGUUUUUGCAUUUUGAUAUCUUAAAAAAAAAAAAAAAAAUCUUAUGUGUUAAUAGCGCACCUGGGACUGCAAGCGACCGAACUGGGCCAACUUUUAAUUAACAUGCUGACCUGCCGAAGAAGCAAAACUCCCUUUAAAAAGAAAAAAAAAAAACCCCAACCAAAAAUUUAUACCUACACAUACACUGCCGUAUCGGCAUGACCCUGGAAACCUCAGGGCUCUCCUCCCCCUUUUUUGGGGGCAAGGAUGUGAUCUUCGAAAGGGACGAGGAGAUGCGCAAGUUAAGCACCCGCCCGCCUUCCCUCCCAGGGGCCGCGGCCGCCCGCGCAGCCCCUGCUCAAGCUGCGCGGGCGGAGGCGGCUUCGGGAGGGGGAAGGCGGGCAAAGGGGGGGGAGUAUGACCGGUGUCCCCGAGCAGCGUGUGCGAGGAAAAGGCCGUGGCAGAAAGGGGGAAGAUCUGGGCUCUUUGAGAGGUGCGGUACAAACACCAGCGCGGGGUGACUACAAGCUCAUGCGUGGGUGCUACAAGCUCCAGAGCCUGUUCGGCGGCUCCCCCAUGUGAAGCACAAAGAGAGGUCACCAACCUGAAAGAUUAACUUAUUUUCUCUAUGCUUUUGCCUCGUCAAUGCUUAUUUUCCUUCCCUGUUAAAUUAAUUUUAUUUUUAAAAUGGAUUUGAUUUUUUUAUUCCCAUGCAUACUUCAGGCAGGCUAGAUGCCUGACUUGCCCCCCACCGCACCCCAAACUGGCACUGGAGUACGUUAGUACGGGGUUACACUUUAACUUCUCUGCAGGUAAUAAUUAAAGAGCUUCUUUCUAAAUCUCUUUCCCCCACCGAAGCUCUCUUUCGCAAUAGAUUAUAUUGAUCACACACAGGGGCACAACUCUCCUCGGAGCCACCGUCUGUGAGCUGCUCUUAAUUCAGUGCACUCUGCGUAACUUCUCCCAGAUCUUCUCCUAACUUUUUCUCAAGCUGAAAGGUUUCUUCAGGAACGCAUUUAUAAAUCCCCCCAAGAGAAAGCUCCACAUGCAAAAGGGGACUGAUAGUCAUUCAGAUGCACACCAGCAGGCUUUGGCCAUACAUUUGAAUUUUGUCCCAUAGUGGCAUUGUGGGUGAAUUUAAAAACAAUAGAUAUAGAGGGAACAAAGUCAUCUGACAUUAGUAAGGGAGUAUCUUUGUCGAGUGGGAAGAACUCCAACUUCUUCUAGUAGUGACACUUUCCAAAGAAAACCUUCAGCCUUGUCCUAACAGCCAUAUUGAAAGUUUUAGGGGCUCUGAGUUACUUUAGAUCAUAAAUUAAUCUGCCAGAGAAGUGCGGUACACACCUGAUAUCAAGGAAGGGUCAAGAGCUGGCCAGUUCCAGCUGGUCCUGCAUUUGAUUUACUUCAGGCUGUUAAGAUGUAUGCUGUAGUGUUUUGAUAAGAAAAAAGGAGUCAGCAGUUUGAUUUGGCAAUUCUUUCUUUUCUUUUUCUUUUUUUUUUCUUUUUUUUUUCUUUUUUUUUUUUCUCCUCUGAAGAGAGCCACAGUUUAAGCUAAGGAAUUUGUUGUUGCUAUUGGGGUGGUUUUUAGCAGAGGUUCUCAGUUUGCAUGGGGCUAUCUCAUCGCUUACUGUUAACACUUAACUAUGUUUAUUACUUUCCAAAGUGAGCCAGACAGUGGCAUGAACUUUUACUCAGCUUGUCUACCUCAGGCCUCCAGCACCUCUGGACUGUGCCUUUCCUGGGAUUCACCCCAGCCAGAGAACUUGGAGCAACAGCAAAGGCAGUGGCCAUCACCCAAUGGGUCACAUCAGCAACCUAAUCUGCCUCAGUGGAGCCCUACCACAGCUUUCCCCUCACGCCUCUCUUUUCCACAAGGCGUUGCCCAUGAGUUUCAUCAAGUGCCUCAGAAAUAUUUGAAUUUAGUUUUAUUUUACUGAACAGAUUCACAAGCUGAAUGUGGGAGGCUGGUUGUUCUUGGCUGAAUUAAACUAUUAUUUGAAAAUA